rnacentral:misc_RNA from 1 species
UCCGGUUUGACACCGGCAGUCCCCCCAGAGUCCCCGACAUGACUCGCUGGCAACUGAGGGUAAGGGUUUCGCUCGUUAUGGGACUUAACCCGACAUCUCACGACACGAGCUGACGACAGCCAUGCAGCACCUGUGUUAGGCUCCCAUUGCUGGUUCGUCACCGUUUCCGGCUUCUACUACCUAACUCUUUCGAACAUGUCAAGUCCAGGAUAAGGUUCUUCGCGUAGCCUCGAAUUAAGCCACAUGCUCCACCGCUUGUGUGAGCCCCCGUCAAUUUCUUUGAGUUUCAGCCUUGCGGCCAUACUCCCCAGGCGGAGAACUUAGCACUUUUGCUUCGGCAGUCAGUCUAUGUCGGACCGACUACCUAGUUCUCAUCGUUUAGGGCCAGGACUAC